UUUAAAUUAAUUAAAUUUGUAAAAGCCUCCCAUUGGAUAAUUCCUGCAUGGAUGAUGACGUUUCAGCUGCAACAAGUUGUUUAACCCAAA